rnacentral:tRNA from 1 species
GGUCUCGUAGUGUCGCGGUUAACACGCCUGCCUGUCACGCAGGAGAUCGCGGGUUCGAUUCCCGUCGAGACCGCCA